CCUACGGGAGGCAGCAGUGAGGAAUAUUGGUCAAUGGACGAGAGUCUGAACCAGCCAAGUAGCGUGAAGGAUGACUGCCCUAUGGGUUGUAAACUUCUUUUAUAUGGGAAUAAAACGUUCCACGUGUGGGAUUUUGUAUGUACCCUAUGAAUAAGGAUCGGCUAACUCCGUGCCAGCAGCCGCGGUAAUACGGAGGAUCCGAGCGUUAUCCGGAUUUAUUGGGUUUAAAGGGGGCGUAGGUGGAUUGUUAAGUCAGUUGUGAAAGUUUGCGGCUCAACCGUAAAAUUGCAGUUGAAACUGGCAGUCUUGAGUACAGUAGAGGUGGGCGGAAUUCGUGGUGUAGCGGUGAAAUGCUUAGAUAUCACGAAGAACUCCGAUUGCGAAGGCAGUUCACUGGACUGCAACUGACACUGAGGCUCGAAAGUGUGGGUAUCAAACAGGAUUAGAUACCCUUGUAGUC
rnacentral:rRNA from 1 species